AUUGAACGCUAGCGGGAUGCCUAACACAUGCAAGUCGAGCGGAGCGGCGGACGGGUGAGUAAUGCAUAGGAAUGUGCCCAGUAGUGGGGGAUAACUUCGCGAAACGGUAGCUAAUACCGCAUACUAUCAGAUCAGCCGAGGUCGGAUUAGCUAGUUGGUGGGGUAAAGGCCUACCAAGGCGACGAUCCGUAACUGGUUUGAGAGGAUGACCAGCCACACUGGAACUGAGACACGGCCCAGACUCCUACGGGAGGCAGCAGUGGGGAAUAUUGGACAAUGGGGGAAAGCCUGAGCCAGCCAUGCCGCGUGAGUGAAGAAGGUCUUCGGAUUGUAAAGCACUUUUGGUUGGGAAGCGGUACCAACAGAAUAAGCACCGGCUAACUACGUGCCAGCAGCCGCGGUAAUUC
rnacentral:rRNA from 1 species